AUGCAGUCGAGGGGCAGCAUGAUUGAAGCUUGCUUCAAUUGAUGGCGACCGGCGCACGGGUGAGUAACGCGUAUCCAACCUUCCGUACACUCAGGGAUAGCCUUUCGAAAGAAAGAUUAAUACCUGAUGGUAUGAUGAGAUUGCAUGAUAUCAUCAUUAAAGAUUCAUCGGUGUACGAUGGGGAUGCGUUCCAUUAGGUAGUAGGCGGGGUAACGGCCCACCUAGCCGACGAUGGAUAGGGGUUCUGAGAGGAAGGUCCCCCACAUUGGAACUGAGACACGGUCCAAACUCCUACGGGAGGCAGCAGUGAGGAAUAUUGGUCAAUGGACGAGAGUCUGAACCAGCCAAGUAGCGUGAAGGAUGAAGGUCCUACGGAUUGUAAACUUCUUUUAUAAGGGAAUAAAACCUCCCACGUGUGGGAGCUUGUAUGUACCUUAUGAAUAAGCAUCGGCUAACUCCGUGCCAGCAGCCGCGGUAAUACGGAGGAUGCGAGCGUUAUCCGGAUUUAUUGGGUUUAAAGGGAGCGCAGACGGGUCGUUAAGUCAGCUGUGAAAGUUUGGGGCUCAACCUUAAAAUUGCAGUUGAUACUGGCGUCCUUGAGUGCGGUUGAGGUGUGCGGAAUUCGUGGUGUAGCGGUGAAAUGCUUAGAUAUCACGAAGAACUCCGAUUGCGAAGGCAGCACACUAAGCCGUAACUGACGUUCAUGCUCGAAAGUGUGGGUAUCAAACAGGAUUAGAUACCCUGGUAGUCCACACGGUAAACGAUGGAUACUCGCUGUUGGCGAUAUACUGUCAGCGGCUUAGCGAAAGCGUUAAGUAUCCCACCUGGGGAG
rnacentral:rRNA from 1 species